rnacentral:rRNA from 1 species
UACGGGGGGGGCGAGCGUUGUUCGGAAUUACUGGGCGUAAAGGGCGCGUAGGCGGCCUGCUAAGUCGGAUGUGAAAUCCCUCGGCUCAACCGAGGAACUGCAUCCGAUACUGGCGGGCUUGAAUCCGGGAGAGGGAUGUGGAAUUCCUGGUGUAGCGGUGGAAUGCGCAGAUAUCAGGAGGAACACCAAUGGCGAAGGCAGCUCGCUGGGACGGUACUGACGCUGAGGCGCGAAAGCGUGGGGAGCAAACAGG